rnacentral:rRNA from 1 species
GACGAACGCUGGCGGCGUGCUUAACACAUGCAAGUCGAACGGAAAGGCCCUGCUUUUGUGGGGUGCUCGAGUGGCGAACGGGUGAGUAACACGUGAGUAACCUGCCCUUGACUUUGGGAUAACUUCAGGAAACUGGGGCUAAUACCGGAUAGGAGCUCCUGCUGCAUGGUGGGGGUUGGAAAGUUUCGGCGGUUGGGGAUGGACUCGCGGCUUAUCAGCUUGUUGGUGGGGUAGUGGCUUACCAAGGCUUUGACGGGUAGCCGGCCUGAGAGGGUGACCGGGAACAUGGGGAAGGAGAUAAGGCAGAGAGGCAGAGGGGAGGGAGGAGGGGGGAAGAGGGGACAAGGGGCGGAGGAGUGAUGAAGCAACGACGCGGGGGGGAGGAGGGCGGGAGGGUGGGAGAAAGAAGGAGCCCGGGAAGAAGAGGGAGCGACGGUAAGGGGUAAAGAAGCACGGGCCAAAGAAGGG